rnacentral:rRNA from 1 species
GACUACACGGGUAUCUAAGCCUGUUUGAUCCCCACGCUUUCGUGCCUCAGUGUCAAUAACCCCGUAGUGAGCUGCCUUCGCAAUUGGUGUUCUAUGUCAUAUCUAAGCAUUUCACCGCUACAUGACAUAUUCCGCUCACCUCCAGGAUAUUCAAGACAGAUAGUAUCAAUGGCAGUUUCCGAGUUAAGCUCGGAGAUUUCACCGCUGACUUACCUGCCCACCUACGCACCCUUUAAACCCAGUAAAUCCGGAUAACGCUUGCACCCUCCGUAUUACCGCGGCUGCUGGCACGGAGUUAGCCGGUGCUUAUUCCUCUGGUACCGUCAAGUGAGCUAGAAAGCCCUUUUUUCGUCCCAGAUAAAAGAAGUUUACAACCCAGAGGGCCGUCAUCCUUCACGCGGCAUGGCUGGUUCAGACUUGCGUCCAUUGACCAAUAUUCCUUACUGCAGCCCCCCGUAGG